AGACCCGAAACCCGGUGAUCUAGCCAUGGGCAGGUUGAAGGUUGGGUAACACUAACUGGAGGACCGAACCGACUAAUGUUGAAAAAUUAGCGGAUGACCUGUGGCUGGGGGUGAAAGGCCAAUCAAACCGGGAGAUAGCUGGUUCUCCCCGAAAGCUAUUUAGGUAGCGCCUCGUGAAUUCAUCUCCGGGGGUAGAGCACUGUUUCGGCUAGGGGGCCAUCCCGGCUUACCAACCCGAUGCAAACUGCGAAUACCGGAGAAUGUUAUCACGGGAGACACACGGCGGGUGCUAACGUCCGUCGUGAAGAGGGAAACAACCCAGACCGCCAGCUAAGGUCCCAAAGUCAUGGUUAAGUGGGAAACGAUGUGGGAAGGCCCAGACAGCCAGGAUGUUGGCUUAGAAGCAGCCAUCAUUUAAAGAAAGCGUAAUAGCUCACUGGUCGAGUCGGCCUGCGCGGAAGAUGUAACGGGGCUAAACCAUGCACCGAAGCUGCGGCAGCGAACGUAUCACUUAAAGCGAUUCAGCGGGUUACGAUUGACGGAGCGAAGCGACGUCAAAGCGUAUACAAAGUCGAGUCGGUUUAAGGAUACGUUCGUUGGGUAGGGGAGCGUUCUGUAAGCCUGCGAAGGUGGCCUGUGAGGGUUGCUGGAGGUAUCAGAAGUGCGAAUGCUGACAUAAGUAACGAUAAAGCGGGUGAAAAGCCCGCUCGCCGGAAGACCAAGGGUUCCUGUCCAACGUUAAUCGGG
rnacentral:rRNA from 1 species